rnacentral:rRNA from 1 species
GAUGAACGCUGGCGGCGUGCCUAAUACAUGCAAGUCGAACGAAACUUCUUUAUCACCGAGUGCUUGCACUCACCGAUAAAGAGUUGAGUGGCGAACGGGUGAGUAACACGUGGGCAACCUGCCCAAAAGAGGGGGAUAACACUUGGAAACAGGUGCUAAUACCGCAUAACCAUAGUUACCGCAUGGUAACUAUGUAAAAGGUGGCUAUACUACCGCUUUUGGAUGGGCCCGCGGCGCAUUAGCUAGUUGGUAGGGUAAAGGCUUACCAAGGCAAUGAUGCGUAGCCGAAUUGAGAGGUUGAUCGGCCACAUUGGGACUGAGACACGGCCCAAACUCCUACGGGAGGCAGCAGUAGGGAAUCUUCCACAAAGGGCGAAAGCCUGAUGGAGCAACGCCGCGUGGGUGAAGAAGGUCUUCGGAUCGUAAAACCCUGUUGUUAGAGAAGAAAGUGCGUGAGAGUAACUGUUCACGUUUCGACGGUAUCUAACCAGAAAGCCACUGCUAACUACGUG